ACAUCCUGGUUGGGACAUUGGAUAAGAUUUCCAUUAAAUCUCUUCCACUCCGCAUAUAAAGGCUCUCUAUUCAAUUGAUGAAAGUUUGUGAUUUCUUCACGCAAUUG